rnacentral:rRNA from 1 species
CCUACGGGAGGCUGCAGUGAGGAAUAUUGGUCAAUGGACGAGAGUCUGAACCAGCCAAGUAGCGUGAAGGAUGACUGCCCUAUGGGUUGUAAACUUCUUUUAUAUGGGAAUAAAACGUUCCACGUGUGGGAUUUUGUAUGUACCAUAUGAAUAAGGAUCGGCUAACUCCGUGCCAGCAGCCGCGGUAAUACGGAGGAUCCGGGCGUUAUCCGGGUUUAUUGGGUUUAAAGGGAGCGUAGGUGGUGUGUUAAGGCAGUUGUGAAAUUUUGCGGGUCAACCGUAAAAUUGCAGUUGAAACUGGCAGUCUUGAGUGCAGUAGAGGUGGGCGGAAUUCGUGGUGUAGCGGUGAAAUGCUUAGAUAUCACGAAGAACUCCGAUUGCGAAGGCAGUUUACUGGAGUGCAACUGACACUGAGGCUCGAAAGUGUGGGUAUCAAACAGGAUUAGAUACCCCUGUAGUC